UUGACCCUGAGUGGGAGAAUGCCUUAUCCAGGUGUAGUCUUGUGCACACCUUUCCAGACCCAUAGCAGUGGUUUGGUUGCAGAGCUGUGAUUAUAUGGACAUUCUCCACACUUGGUAUACAGCAGUUCAGACAUGCAGCCCCAUUGGAAUGUGCUGAUAGAGAUAUACUUUUAAUUAUUCGGCUUCAUUAUAUUAUGAUUGGAUUUGAUGAUUCAUGU